rnacentral:rRNA from 1 species
CAGAGGGUGCGAGCGUUGUUCGGAAUUACUGGGCGUAAAGCGCGCGCAGGCGGUCCUUUAAGUCUACCCGUGAAAUGCCGGAGCUCAACUCCGUGCACGCCGGGGGAUACUGGAGGACUGGAGACGAGUAGAGGCAAGCGGAAUUCCGGGUGUAGCGGUGGAAUGCGUAGAGAUCCGGAAGAACACCGGAGGCGAAGGCGGCUUGCUGGGCUUGGUCUGACGCUGAGGCGCGAAAGCGCGGGGAGCGAACAGGAUUAGAUACCCUGGUAGUCCACGCCGUAAACGAUGGGCACUAGACGCGGGUGGGAUCGACCCCUUCCGUGUCGCAGCUAACGCGCUAAGUGCCCCGCCUGGGGAGUACGGCCGCAAGGCUG